UUAGUUCGUGGAGUGAUCUGUCUGCUUAAUUGCGUUUCAGAUAUACAGGGUUUAAUCACGUAUACUAGCACACGCAAGUGUUGUUCGGUUGAGUGUUAGCCCUUUGAAAGCAACGAACGUGACCGCAGCCCAUUGUUGCAAUAAAAGUAACUAUUGUUAAACUAUGGGGACCGCCAGGGUUUGUUAAACCGGAGGAAGGUUGCGGCAAUAACAGGUCU
rnacentral:rRNA from 1 species